GGGAGGGAGGGAGGAGGCGGGGAGCACGCGGGGGCCGGCCCGGAGCCAAAGUCAAGUCCCCGCGCCUCCGGGCGGAACCCGGAGAGCGCUGGUCUGGUGGCAGGAGGCUGCGGGGCGCGCGAGGCGGCCGAGCCGCGGGGGGAGCGCCUCCCCAGUCCCGGGCCGGUCCCAGCCGCCGGCGGGAGAGCCUGCGGGGCCCGCGGCGAUCCGGCUCGCUGAGUCGCGCUGGCGGCGUGGUGCUCGCCCUUCCCACGCCCUUUUGCAACAGAUCCGACCUCCCGGGCUUCCUCUGCCCUCCGGGCCUCAGCCGAAAGGCUCUAGGACGGGCCUGGGCUCCGCUUCCACACGCCGCAGUGUCCCGCUGCGAGCGCGUUCCAGACACUCUCCCCUGGAAUGCUAGCCCCACGUUUACGAGGUGAAGACACUGAGACCCAGAGAGCUUCAGGAGCUGAUCCUGCCGAGCAGCGCAUGAUAUCGGGGAACGCUAUCAUCGUACCUAGAGCGUUUAAAGAAUCCACACUGGAGAAGGGGAAAGAGAAACAGAGACAAAGACCACAGUCAUUCUCCAGCUGGUAUUAGUAAUAAGGGACGACCAGCUCGGAGCUGCCAUCCCCAGAGCUCUGGGAAGCCUUGUCUCAUUCAUUCAUCUUGUCACAGUAACUGUUACUGAUGGACCAUGACAGGUUAAGCUCUAAAAAUUCAGUGAUUCUCAGUUGCUGAUUUAAAAUUACAGAAAGCUAUGGCAGCUGCCUUCAGUUGGAGAGUUGGAGAAAGGAUUCUCUAGGAGAGUGUGAUUUAGUUGACAGUCCCUUAUGAUGCCUUAUGGAUAUGACCAUGACAGAUGGGCUGCAGUAACAUGCAAGGAUAAUAUAAGGCCACAUAAGGGUGACCAUAUGUCUAGUGAGCCUGGGACAGUCCAGGUUUAUAACACUGGUCCCAGCAACCUGCCCCAUUUAGCAUCUGCCACAGACAAAUAUAUUCUUGUUUGGAUGAUACAUUGUAUGCGUCAGAAACCAAAGUGAUCAGGAAGCUCCCUGGAUUUUCAGCUGCCUACAGGACUGAAGCCAAACUAUUUCCAUAAAUAGAUCAGUGGAUCAACUUAAGAAGAGUAAUUCAGGCCGGCCGAGUGGCUCAGUUGGUUAAGAGCUUGCUCAAGAGUGGGAGCUCUGAGCAGCAGGGUCGCCGAUUUG